rfam:Schistosoma mansoni strain Puerto Rico chromosome 1, complete genome
AUCUGGCUGACGAGUCCCAAAUAGGGCGAAACACGCGUCCCGGAU